UAGAGGGCAAUUAGGGAUAGGAGAUGUUCCUGCCCACAUUGGUGGUGUCACAAACUUUGGUGAUAAUGUGGAUGACGAAUGGUUGAUUGUCUACCUCAUUCAACAAGUCACCAAAGAGUUCCCAAACUUAGUGGCAAGUGUUGAUGAUAAUGAUGGGGACUUCUUGUUGAUUGAAGCUGCUGAGCACCUACCCAAAUGGUUGAACCCUGACACUAGUGAAAACCGGGUAUAUUUUUAUCGUGGAGAGUUGCAUAUCAUCCCAAUCCCUCGGAACCCGGGGGAACUCUCUUGGUUACCAGUUAGCAAUCCUACCAUUUCUCAAGCCCUCAGUCUGCUCAACACUCAUUCUGACAAAUGUCUGGCAGCAGAACCCAUUCGCAAAGCUAUAAGGAGACGCAUUCAAAGGUAAUUAGAAUUGGUUCUGAAUCUUUAGUUAAAUCUUAGAACAAUGAAAAUGCAAUUAGCCAAUACAUUCUCUAUAUCUCUCACUCCAAAAACUUCAGAAAACAAAAGCAACCUGUUAUAGAAAUUCCAUUUUUCUGAAAGCAAAAUCAGGCACAUGUGGAGGCUGCCAUGACCCUGCUGGAGAACUUCAAGCUUCCUCUAUACAAGGGAUAUUCUGGCCUACGUGCUGAUUCUGUUAAUGUCUGGAAUUUCUCACAUUCUACAAUGUAGCUCCGCAAAAGUUCUUCCUUGUUCAUUCUACAAAUACUUUCCUGAUCUUUGAUCUUUUUUUCUAAACCAUAUAAUAAUCUUUGGAUACUUUGCAACUCCUAUAAGCUUAGGUGAUGCAAGGCAACAUCUAGAAUUAAGGCAUUGAAAUUCCAUCAGCUAAGAAAGUGCAUUUCCGCAUUCCUGUGCCACCACUUGAAGUGUUUACUGUUCUCCACAAGUGAAUCCUGAGUCUCAGCUGAAUAUUUGAGUUUGGAUUUGUAGCGGAGAUUGGAAACUGAACUGUACUGCUAACAUAACUGAGAAUCAGUGCAUUCAUCUUGCUAUUGAUUUCCUGCGUUCAUUCAAGCAAGUUGGGAAUCUGAUUCAAAUGCAUGAAAUAGUCAAUCCAGUUAUGAUGUGGCAGUUA